GCAUAUCAAUAAGCGGAGGAAAAGAAACCAACAGGGAUUGCCUCAGUAACGGCGAGUGAAGCGGCAAGAGCUCAAAUUUGAAAGCUGGCUCCUUCGGGGUCCGCAUUGUAAUUUGCAGAGGAUGCUUCGGGAGCGGCCCCCAUCUAAGUGCCCUGGAACGGGCCGUCAUAGAGGGUGAAAAUCCCGUCUGGGAUGGGGUGUCCGCGCCCGUGUGAAGCUCCUUCGACGAGUCGAGUUGUUUGGGAAUGCAGCUCUAAAUGGGUGGUAAAUUUCAUCUAAAGCUAAAUAUUGGCCGGAGACCGAUAGCGCACAAGUAGAGUGAUCGAAAGAUGAAAAGCACUUUGAAAAGAGAGUUAAACAGCACGUGAAAUUGUUGAAAGGGAAGCGCUUGCGACCAGACUCGCCCACGGGGUUCAGCCGGCAUUCGUGCCGGUGUACUUCCCCGCGGGCGGGCCAGCGUCGGUUUGGGCGGCCGGUCAAAGGCCCUCGGAAUGUAACGCCCCCCGGGGCGUCUUAUAGCCGAGGGUGCCAUGCGGCCAGCCCAGACCGAGGAACGCGCUUCGGCUCGGACGCUGGCAUAAUGGUCGUAAGCGACCCGUCUUGAAACACGGACCAAGGAGUCUAACAUCUACGCGAGUGUUCGGGUGUCAAACCCGUGCGCGCAGUGAAAGCGAACGGAGGUGGGAACCCCUCGGGGUGCACCAUCGACCGAUCCUGAUGUCUUCGGAUGGAUUUGAGUAUGAGCGUAGCUGUUGGGACCCGAAAGAUGGUGAACUAUGCCUGAAUAGGGUGAAGCCAGAGGAAACUCUGGUGGAGGCUCGCAGCGGUUCUGACGUGCAAAUCGAUCGUCAAAUUUGGGUAUAGGGGCGAAAGACUAAUCGAACCAUCUAGUAGCUGGUUCCUGCCGA
rnacentral:rRNA from 1 species